rnacentral:rRNA from 1 species
AGCAGCCGCGGUAAUUCCAGCUCCAAUAGCGUAUAUUAAAGUUGUUGCAGUUAAAAAGCUCGUAGUUGAAUUUCGGGAUUGACACAUCGGUCGUGCCUUAAGGGGUGUGAACUGGUGUAGUCAAUUUCUCACCUUCUGGAGAACCGCGAUGUCCUUAAUUGGGUGCCGCGAGGAACCAGGACCUUUACUUUGAAAAAAUUAGAGUGUUUAAAGCAGGCAUUUUUGCUUGAAUACAUUAGCAUGGAAUAAUAAAAUAGGACGGCAUGAUUCUAUUUUGUUGGUUUCUAGGAUCACCGUAAUGAUUAAUAGGGAUAGUUGGGGGCAUUAGUAUUCAAUUGUCGGAGGUGAAAUUCUUGGAUUUAUUGAAGACUAACUACUGCGAAAGCAUUUGCCAAGGAUGUUUUCAUUAAUCAAGAACGAAAGUUAGGGAUCGAAGACGAUCAGAUACCGUCGUAGUCUUAACCAUAAACUAUGACCGACUAGGAAUCAGACGAUGUUAAUUUUUAAUGUACUCGUUUGG